rnacentral:lncRNA from 1 species
AUUGAGCCCUUUCUUGCUAGAGGCAUCUGGAACUGGUACUUCUCGUCACAGCAUCAGAGACUCCGUGAGAGAGAUUGCUCCUGCCACAGGUCUUCUUGCUCGUUCCACAACCAGGGUACAGUCACCAGCUGGGCACUUGGAGGGGCCAGAGGCACAGCUCCACCAGGCUGUCUGGUGAGAAAAGCAGGAGGGCAAGGCCUGGCCCCAGGGGGAGAGGCUGGCAUCAUCCUAGCCUUCUCGGUCUGCAGGGACUCUCCUCUCCUCCUUUGGUGCAGGCUCCUAUGCAUUUUAAGACAGUGGUUGAGAUGGUUGUGUCGUGUAGUCAGUUAAUAUAUACGUGGUGAUAAUUUUGGACAAAUGCACAUGUACAUGAUGGCAUCUCCAGAAUCAAGAUACUAGACAUAUCCAACACCUCUAAAAUUUUCUUUAUUUCUUCUGUAGUUUUUUGGCUUGGUAAGUUCACUUAACAUGAGAUCUAUCCUCUAAAUAUAUUUUACUUUAUUUAUUAUUUUUUUAAAUUAAAUUUAUUUAUUUUCAGCAUAACAGUAUUCAUUAUUUU